AUUGAACGCUGGCGGCAGGCCUAACACAUGCAAGUCGAGCGGAUGAAGGGAGCUUGCUCCUGGAUUCAGCGGCGGACGGGUGAGUAAUGCCUAGGAAUCUGCCUGGUCGUGGGGGAUAACGUCCGGAAACGGGCGCUAAUACCGCAUACGUCCCGUGGGAGAAAGUGAGGGAUCUUCGGACCUCACGCUAUCAGAUGAUCCUAGGACGGAUUAGCUAGUUGGUGGGGUAAAGGCCUACCAAGGCGACGAUCCGUAACUGGUCUGAGAGGAUGAUCAGUCACACUGGAACUGAGACACGGUCCAGACUCCUACGGGAGGCAGCAGUGGGGAAUAUUAGACGAUGGGCGAAAGCCUGAUCCAGCCAUGCCGCGUGUGUGAAGAAGGUCUUCGGAUUGUAAAACACUUUAAGUUGGGAGGAAGGGCAGUAAGUUAAUACCUUGCUGUUUUGACGUUACCAACAGAAUAAGCACCGGCUAACUUCGUG
rnacentral:rRNA from 1 species